GACGAACGCUGGCGGCGUGCCUAAUACAUGCAAGUCGAACGCAGUGGGGACGGGUGAGUAACACGUGGGUACCCUCCCAUAAGAGGGGAUAACACUUGGAAACAGGUGCUAAACCGAUACUGAUGGAUGGAACCGGGGUGCAUUAGCUAGUUGGUUAGGUAACGGCUCACCAAGGCCACGAUGCAUAGCCGUCUGGCGAGGGUGAUCGGCCACCCUGUGACUGAGACACGGCCCAUACUCCUACGGGAGGCAGCAGUAGGGAAUCUUCGGCAAUGGACGAAAGUCUGACCGCGCAACGCCGCGUGAGUGAAGAAGGUUUUCGGAUCGUAAAACUCUUUUGUUAGAGAAGCGGUAUCUAACCAGAAAGCCACGGCUAACUACGUGCCAGCAGCCGCGGUAAUUC
rnacentral:rRNA from 1 species